rnacentral:lncRNA from 1 species
UGUAGAAUAUUAAGGGGAUAUUAUUGAAGUGAAUUAUGGAAUUUUUGGAUGAGAUUUGGAUAGGUUUGUGAAUUUCCGAAGUUUGGUAUUUUUGGCGGUUAAUUAAUGUAAAAUCCGGCCGUAGGAUUUAAGUCGUAUUUUGGAGAGGUUGUAUUUACGACUGUUGAGUAUGAUAUUUAAGUUCGGAUCGUCCGAUGUAAGAAUAUCGAAGUUAGGCAAUAAUGAGCGUAAUUAUGGCUCUCGGGUAAUUUUGCCUAUUUUGAUUAAAUAUUGGAUAUUGGUUGGGAAAUUAAUAUUAUAUUUGGAACAGGACGUGAAGAGGCUCGAGCAGACGAGACCCCAGAUUGACAUCAGGCUUAGGCCUAAUUCGUGAGUGGACUUUUGUUUUAAAUAAAUGCAUGCUAAGUUCACGAUUGAAUAAUUAAUGUCGUGGAGUAUUUUGCCGUCAAUUAAUUUUGACGCUUUUAUUUCUCUUGAGAGAGAGUUACCGAAAAUGGGAUUUUCGGUGAAUAUAAAUAUGUAUAUAUGAGAGAGUAUGUAUAAAAAUAGACUAGCUAGCCAUAUGUGUCUGUCCACCUUAAUGGCGUAGCAUAUAACCGCAUUAUGGUGUGACGUGAGCGUUGGACGUAAGCGUAGUAGCCCUAUUUGAGUGUUAAUUCAUAUAGGGGGUAUGGACACAUAUUUAUACACCCGUCUGUCCACCUUGAUGGCGUAGUGUAGCACCGCAUUAAGGCGUGACGUGAGCGUUGGACGCGAGCGUAGUAGCCCUAUAUAGACCCAUGAAUUUAUAUAGGGAGUAUGGACGAGUGUAAAUACAUACAUAUAUUAUAGUAGUCUGAGAGGCUCGAUAUUUUAUGAGAUAAAAGUUAUCGCUUGCGGCAUGCAUUCGUAUUUUUCCUUAGAAAUUAAUUUGGGGAAACAUAAAUAUUUUAUUUAUUAUUUUUAUUUUUUGUCCACUCACUCUGACGUUAUUAAAUGUUUUCCCCUGGGCCCUUCGUUUUAAAUUGCCCAGUCUGCAGAGUUCGGGUUGGAUCUAGUAGGAGACGAGGCAUAGUCACCCGCAUUUCUGCCAGUUUUCGCCAGUAGGUUACCUGUUCAACCUACUCGUGUUUCUUGCUUCCGCUUGUGUUUAGUAGCUCUGAAUACUUUAGAAUUUUUGUAUAUUAUGGGAUGUUCAGAAGUGUUAAAUUAAGAGUGUAAUUUGAAAUUUUUCGAGUUAGGGUUGUCCAUCUGCAAGGGAGAUUUUCUUAAUCUUUUCAGUAAAUUUUCCUUG